GGAGAGAUGGCUCAGUGGUUAAGAGCACUGGUUGCUUUUCCAGAGGACCUGGGUUCAAUUCCCAGGAUCCA
rnacentral:tRNA from 1 species